GACGAACGCUGGCGGCGUGCUUAACACAUGCAAGUCGAACGGAAAGGCCCUGCUUGCAGGGUGCUCGAGUGGCGAACGGGUGAGUAACACGUGGGUGAUCUGCCCCUUACUUUGGGAUAAGCCUGGGAAACUGGGUCUAAUACUGGAUAGGACCAUGCUGUAGGUGGUGUGGUGGAAAGAUUAGUUUCGGUAAGGGAUGAGCUCGCGGCCUAUCAGCUUGUUGGUGGGGUAAUGGCCUACCAAGGCGUCGACGGGUAGCCGGCCUGAGAGGGUGGACGGCCACAUUGGGACUGAGAUACGGCCCAGACGCCUACGGGAGGCAGCAGUGGGGAAUAGUGCACAAUGGGCGCAAGCCUGAUGCAGCGACGCCGCGGGGGGGAUGACGGCCUUCGGGUUGUAACCUCCUUUCAGCCAUGACGAAGCCCUUGUGGUGACGGUAGUGGUAGAAGAAGCACCGGCUAACUACGUG
rnacentral:rRNA from 1 species